CUCCCCACCGAUGGCGAGAAGUCCUCUGUCUUGCCCUGUUUUACCGUUAGUGCAUAAGAGAAGUUUGAGCCUUCGUUCGGGGCCUUUUCGCCUGCGAAAAACACGUCAUGACCUCCUGCUCCUUCUCGGUUUCUCCUUUCACCGUCGCCGCCUCCUUCAUCUCGACAUCUUUGCCUGAGCUGUUGUUAGGAUAGUGUUCUCUCUAGUCGAAUGGUUCCCGUUCGGCAGCAGAACUUCAGGCGACGAUGGCUUGGGCUUGGACAAUAGUUGGCGUCAGCUUCAUCCGAGGACGGAGUUUUCCAGCUGCGGUACCUAUGGUCGGCGAGCAACAGCAAGAGCCUGCGUGGCUUUGAGGAUGAUGGGGACAUUCGUGCCGCCCAUUACAAACGGACCAUAUUCGAGACAAUCUCGCUGUCCGUGCGUCCAAUAAGCUCAAGCUGUCGUUCUAAGCUUAUUCAUCAGCAUGAAUCACCAGAGACGGGUUUCUGAGGCCACGGUUCUUCAUUUGAUCCUCGCUCGUGUCGAGAAAUUCCAUCUUCAAGUUAAGCUUACCCAUCGAAAUGCUAGCCAACUGUUUGUGAAAAUGCUCCAACGAAGUUGCGAAUUAUCUUUGAGGAAAAGCCGCUUGAAUCUGUAGAUGCGGAUGCUCAUCACACGUUUAAACCACAAUGGCAUCUUCAAUUCAUUCAUUAUACUCCUAUUUCGUGAAAUUUAAAUCUAAGACUGAGAGUAACUCGUCUGUUGUUUUGUUUUGUGCAUUGUUCUCAUGGUGAAUACUGGCAAGAUAAACGGCAGACUCUUGAUGAACACUGAUUUCUUACGAUCCUCGACUUAACUGUACUGGCAUGUUCCCGGUCAAUUUGCCAGGCAACAUAUUCAAGAAAACAAGAAAGAGGGAACUCUUGGGUAUUCAGACAUGUCAUGGCCGGUGAAGCUCUUAAGAUAUAUGCAGGAAAUCCGAGUGUUCUUCUCUGCUGGUUGGC